AAACCUUAGAGCGAGCAUAAGGAAAUCUUAGUUCACUUUCUAAGAGUCUUGGGCUUCAUGGGAACAAUGACUACCCCAUUCCUCGAGUAGCAUCUAAUUCUGAUGGGGUUCAUAUACAUCAUAUCUUGUUCUUCUCUGAUAGUCUCAAGUGCAUUACAUUUUCAGAAUUUGAGAUCACCUUAUACUAGCAAUAGAGCUCUUUAAACCAUCUUAUACAAAUGAUGACCAAAAACAUACGUGAGUUGUUCUUAUUCUGGUUCGUGUUCAUUCUUUUAAAACCUUAUUUGUAUAGAACAAGAGCAGAAAAUAUAUAUCCUAUUGUUUUGCAGAGUGGUAGAAACAUUAAAAGAUCCUUGUAAUGGUUGGAUUGCUUUAUUGGUGAUGUAAAAAUAUAUUCCGUAUAAGAAAUUAACACAAAUAUAUCAAAAUUAUCACAGUUGUAUCAUCACCAGAGGUAGGCAGUUAAUGAGCACAUUCAAAGUUUAAUGGAAUGGACUUCUAUCAUUGAUGAUUUGUUUGCAAAGCAAGUGCCAGAGUCAGUGUCAUAGGAAUGUACUCCUAGUUUAUGGAAUAUAGAAGAUUAUGUGCUCCAGACAUUAGUAUCACUUCCUAGGCGUACAUGAUGCUCCCUCUUUGCAAUGGUUAGACCUUAGGACCUGGAACCUUUAGUGGCCGGGGUAAAUUAAAUUCUACGGAGAGGAUUCCAUGCACCGUCGGGUCAGUUGCACCAGCAGUGUGCAAGUCACGUGCAUUAACAGACGUUGCCAUCCGUUGGUUAGUGAAGAAAACGGAAACGAAGAACAAAAAAACCAAAGUACAGUAAAAAGAAAAUUUACCCCGACCAGUUGGCAUGCACGUGGUUGUUGAGAUCGGCCUUUGUUAUGCCCGACCUUUCAAUUUUUGUUUGCGGGGAAAUUGCAGCUGGCAGAGACUGUUCACUGAUCUUGAUGCAGAACACAAGGGAAAGAUCAACAAGAGAGAAGACAGAGAGCGGUUCUAGUCUCCGAAGGGUCCCUCCAAACAAGAAGAAUUAGAAGAACACCGAUUGUUGAUAGUUCCUGAGGCGAAGACCAAUUCUUUUCUGCGAAACCCUGGUUCCCAAAUCAAUACCGAAUCCGGAGUUCUUCUUAGCAUUCAGCCCACGGAGCUCAAAUUCCCCUGUACCAUGGUUCAACUUUGAUAGCAGCAAGCCUUUCUGGCCUCCCAGCUCUGCAUCAAAAAUUUGAUCUUCCUGCUCCAUUUGUAUUGCACACUGAUUGUCCCCAUUAUUGGCGCUAUCACCAGCCAGGUGAGUCGGAGGAGGAAUUCUCAACCAGAUUAGCCAAUGAUUUGGAGAAUCUUAUCCUCAAAGAAGGACCAGAGACUAUUGCUGCGUUCAUUGCCGAACCUGUCAUAGGUGCAGGAGGUGUGAUACCUCCCCCUGCAACUUAUUUUGACAAGAUUGACUCAAAAUCAGCACGGAGAAAAAUGUUUUGCUUGGACCAGACAUCAAUGCAUUGGCAAUGGAUAAAGUUUAAACGUUGUAUUCAUGCUACCUGAAGGACAACUUAAAAAGAUUGGAGAAAGAGGAAAGAUGCCGAGGACUUGUGCAGGGAAAGGAGAAGACUGCUGGAGAUUAAAAGGUGGCAGUUUGCAUAUAUAUCUUGAUUGCUGGAAGACCCCACUCCCGUCCUGAAUUUGUUUUUGCAGAAGUCUUAGUUUAAUCACUAUUUGUUAAAACCUUAUUCCUUUCAAAAAUAGAUACAAUGUCAGUUGUAUAGUAUAAUAAAGUGAACUCAUGCUAUGGGUUUAAGAUAUGUAACAGGCCAAUCAAGAUCCAAUGUGUUUUAAGUGUAGAAGUUGCAAUUCAAAAUACUCAGUAUUUUGUCUUUCAAGGAGAGUUGCAGAAAAUGGGAUUCUGAUGUUGUAUUGUGUGAAAUUGAAGUUCUAGUCAUUGAUAGAGUUCUUGUAAA